AUUCAGCUGAGGAGUCCCGAAUAGGACGAAACGCGCGUUUUGGAU
rfam:Schistosoma mansoni strain Puerto Rico chromosome 4, complete genome